UUAAAUAUCAGCCCUGUGCCAUGGACUGAGGAGAUAUGAAGAAGGAAAUCAACACAAGAUUGUGUUGGCACAAGAGAAAGCUGCUCUGAAUGGUGAGAACAGGAGUCAGCCCACCUAUCCUAAGUCAAAGGAACCCACCAGUUCCAAGGAGGAGGCACAGAUGAAAAGAAGAAAGGAAAGAAGUGAAAGAAGAAGAACAAGUGAGAGGUGGGAGGAGAAGGACAAGGAUGGUGGAGCUGAAGCAGUACCUGGCACCGUGGCCAUCCUUCCAAGUUUGUCUUGGCUCCUGACUUCAACCAGUGGUUUUUGAUACCUUUCUCACGUCAUUUCCCAGGGUAGCACAAGCUGCCUUGUGAAUUACCAGAGUGAAGAAAUGGCCCCAAGGGACAUCAUCUUGAAGCCACGUGAGGAAAGACACAGCCACAUGAUUCUCUAAGUACCAGCUAUCAGGGUGGAAAAUGGAAAGAGCAUUAAACUCUCUGGAGGAUUCCAACGAGCUGUGCUCCAGUCAGACCUUCCUGAGACCACCUGCAUGACCUUGAGCAAGUCACUGACCUCCCCAUGCUUCAUCCCAUUUGAAAAUGGGAACAGCAAUACCUACCUCAUAAGAUUGUGGUGAGGCACAGAUGACUCCAAUAGCUGGGCAAAUGUUAG
rnacentral:lncRNA from 1 species